rnacentral:lncRNA from 1 species
GUUCACUCACAGACAGCAAACCAAGGGGUUGUGCUGUCUCCUUGUCUCCCAGGGAUAAACCCACAUGACAGUUUACAAAAACAGGUAAUCAUAAGAAGCAAAUGGCCCAGAUGAAACACAGCAAAAGAAUGAGAAGUGGUAACACUGGGAGUGAAAUUUGAACCAAGCGUAAAUGGAGUGAUCGUAGAAAUAGCUGACUGUGGAAUGUGGACACUCUCUGUAUCUGCAGCCUGGGAAGCUUAAAGAAGGUGAACUUACUGACACCAGUUAGAAAGUGACUGUGAUGAAACGAUGAAGAUGCUCCAGAGGAAGUGACACCAGCAAUAGGAAAAAAAAAACAAACCUCUCACUGAAGGAACUCUCGGAGAUAUUUCAUGACACAGAAGGCACAAAGGAUACAAUAUUGGCAACUAAUCGAAACUUAGAAAUGAUAUGACAGCUCACCAAGGCAUAGAAAAAGAUGCUUGCUCUAUCAUAAGUUAUAGAAUGAGAAGAAGAGACGGAGUCUCACUGUGUCGCCCAGGCUGGAGUACAGUGGCAUGAUCUCGGCUCACUGCAACCUCCACCUCCCGGGUUCAAGUGAUUCUCCUGCCUCAGCCUCCCACGUAGCUGGGAUUACAGGUACAUGCUGCCACGUCCGGCUAAUGUUUUGUAUUUUUAGUAGAGACAGAAUGGUCUCGAUCUCCUGACCUUGUGAUUCACCUGCCUCGGCCUCCCAAAGUGCUGGGAUUACCAGCAUGAGCCACCACACCCAGCCUGCAAUUUAUUUUUUAAUAGAUAUCCAUCCUAGCGUUUUCCAGGACCUGAAAGCUUUCAUGAAAAAAUAAAUGUAUUAAAUAUCUUCUAUGUUUGAGGAGCUGUAAUAGAUUUGGGGAAUAUAGAAAUGUUGCAAAUGCUUAAUUUUCAGUCUAGUAUCCUGUAAAAUGUUGUGUUUCUGGUAAUGCUUGGGAGAUUUUAUCAUUUUGGAAAUGCUUUUGCUUAAUUAGAUUCGCUAGUGUUCUAGGAGCCAAGGAUUCACAGACUGCACUUUUAAAGGGAUGAUAUUUUCACAUUUCCUUAGUACAGUUCUUUUAGUAACAAUAUUUAUAUAAAAAUUAUUAUGACGUGUGAGUCAUAAUAUUUGUUUUAAUUCUCAAAUUACCUGGUAACCACUGUUAAUAGUUUGGUAUAUAAACACUAAGAGAGCCAGUAAGUAAUUUGUUGUAUUUACAUUUGUACUUUUCUCUGUGCUAUUACACACACUUACACACACACACACAUACACAUCUCACAUGUACAUAAAUAGGUUAAAAUUUAUAUCCUUUCUUCCAAGGAAAAUGAGAUUAUCCUAUAGACAGGUGUCUGAAACUUGCUUAUUCACCUGUGAGUACAUCACAAGUAUCUCUUCAAAUUAAUACAUGAAUAUCUAACUCACUAUUUUUAAUAGCUGCAAAAUAUUUCUCAGUAUGGGAAGAGCAUAAUUUAUUCAAUGAUCUCGCUACUGAUGGACAUUCACAUUUAAAUUUUGUCUGUUUUUUUUUAACCCCUAUAAACGAAACUACAAUAAACAUUCAUGUGUGCACACACAUACAUGGUAUAUUUUUGUGGAUAGCCUCUGUAGCUGACUCUUCAACAUCCACUCCCAGAUAAACAGUCAAAGCCAAGGAUAAUUCUAUCCCUUUGUUAACGAUUGGUGAUAAAUGGACAAAUGUCCAUGAUAAAUGGACCCAGUUCUGGACAGUGAAUGUGAGGGGAAGUUGAUCAUGGAAGUUGUGAGAUAUGAUUCAUAAAACUGCUUCAAGGCCGGGCGCGGUGGCUCACGCCUGUAAUCUCAGCGCUUUGGGAGGCCAAGGUGGGCAGAUCACGAGGUCAGGAGAUCAAGAACAUCCUGGCUAACACGGUGAAGCCAGUCUCUACUAAAAUUACAAAAAAUUAGCUGGGUGUGAUGGCCCAUGCCUGUAAUCUCAGCUACUUGGGAGGCUGAGGCAGGAGAAUAGCUUGAACCUGGAGGCAGAGGUUGCAGUGAACCAAGAUCGCGCCACUGCACUCCACUCCAACCUGGGCAACAGAGCAAGACUCUGUCUCAAAACAAAACAAAACAAAAAAAAACACCUGCUUCAAACACCAUGUUCCAACUCAAAGAUAAAAAUGACAAGGAGGGUAAAGAAAAGAGAAAGAGCCGGGAUACUCAAUGACAUUUUGGCACACUGAAUUAACCAACCUUAGCGUCUACUCUGUUUUCUGGGCUUCCUUUCAGGUGAGAGAUACAUUUCUUACUAUUUAAGCCAAUUUAGUUUUUCUGUUUGUUAUAGCAAAGAACACAUCCUAUCAGACAUACCUCAUGUAUAGUUUUAUUUCUGUGACAAAAAUUUCCAAAAGAGGGUUUGCUGUAUUUUUACUGUAUUUGAGUCUGACAGAUUACAAUCCAAAAAUACUGUAACAAUGCAUACUUCUAUCAGCAAUGGUAUAUAGGAAUGCCUAUUUUCCCCAUACUUUCACAAGGAAAGGAAAGUAUCAACUAUAUGAAUUGUAAUUCAGUUUCAAGUAAUAGGUAACUAACCCAAAGGGGCUUAAAUUUAAAAGGGAGGUUAUUUGGCUCAUAUAACUGAACAGUCCAAGAGUAGAUGUGUAUUCAGAUAGGGCUUGGUUCACAAUAUAUGUGAAUCAAUCCAUGGAACAGAAGAAUUAAUGCAGGACAAGGAAAAAGAAAUAUAUAAAUAUAUAAAAAUAUAUAUAAUAUAAAAUAUAUAAAUAUAUAAAUAUAUAUGUGCACAUGUGACACCACUAUUUUAAAUUUUUCCCAAUAUAUGAAAAAUAUGGCAUUUUACUAGCAUUUUUCUAAGCAAAGUUAGUCGAAGUGAGAUUUGAAUACAAAUCAAAUGACUCAGAAAUUCUUUUACCUAUACCCUGUAUUAUAUCCUUCACAUCAGCUCCAUUUGAAAUCCUGAACUAUAGAAAGCCAUGAAAGAAAUAAAAUACUGUCUAGCAGUUCUAUGAAGAUUACAAAAGAUUUAGAAAUUCUGCCUGGGAAAACUUAGUGAUAUGCUAAAUUUUUACAGCCUAUAAAAUAAUGUAUCUUCUCAAGAACAAUUAAGGGUUUAAUUGUUGCCUUUUGUUGAGGAAGAAUCAUGGAAAGAUAUUGAGUAGCAGGCAGAGGAAAGGAAUCAAAUUAGAGCCAGAAGGAAUCAGUUUAGUCACAAAAAUUCUGUUUCUCAACAGAAAAGGUCCCACACAGGGCUGGGUGUAGUAGGUCUGUGUUGCUUGUCUGCCCUGCACCCUCCUCCGGUUCACAUGGUCCUGAUGGAAUUGUGAAAGAUUGCCUCAUCAUCCUCAACUCGAGAGCCAUCAUGUGACCCAGGCCAACCAAUCAAUAUGCCCCAUCCCUCUGGUCAUAGUGAAUGGUUCUAAGAUGGGCAUGUGACAUAAGUGGAGCCCAUUAGAAUCCUCCUUAGGACUUUUCUGCCAGAGUAAUUAGAAGAGAAUAUCUCUUUUCCAUUGGGGUUGAUAGCCUGUCAUCUUCAUGAAGCCAGCUGUAGCCCUGAAUUUCCAAUUCGUGUGGUCAACAAAUUUCUUAUUUUGCCAGGGUUGCUUUGUUCAGUUUUCUGUUCUCCAACAAAAUGUUUUUAAGCAAUAUUGUGGGUCACUCACAAGUCUGUUGUUGCUCCUUCUUCUGAGGCUAUUAAUAUGAGAGAACUUAUGUGCAGAAGGAGGAUGGUCAAAUGACACCUCUAGAGGUUGGUUGCAUCUCAUCAGGGAUCUGUCUGAUGGUGGAUGUAAUGGAAAUAAAAGAGAAUGCAGGGCUGGUGUGAUUCUCACUUCAAAUUCCCAGAAACUCAUUCAUUGACCCCACAUUCUUUAAAUACGAUUUCAGAACUCAUAGGUGAGACAUAUUUAAGUGAUUUACAAUACAUAAUGAAUAAAGCUAUAAUCUUUUUUUCCUUUGAGAAAAAAAAGAAAAGAAAAGUUGAUUCCUAUUUACAAUUAUUCACACAAACCAGAUUCUGGACCAAGUGUCAACUGCUGUGUGAUUAGCCAAAAGAGUACUUCUUAAACAGUCCUUUCUAAAACUCAGCUAGUCAAGCCAAUUUAUCCAUCAGGAUGUGAGUUGGAAGCCAGGCUAUGAUGGUUAGAACCAUAGCCAAAUUAAAGCCUUUCUGAGAGCCUUUGUAACUUGGGGUUUGAAGGGAACAGAAGGAGCUGAACUGAGCUCUAACCCGAAGGUGUUUAGAUUCUAUGGAGAAGGAGAAUAACGUCAGACUAUGAUAAGAAUGGCCACCAUUUGUGGAGCUGCUUCUACAGGCUAGGUACACUGCACGUUUUAUCCCAUUUAAUCCUCACAACGAUUUUGUAAAGGAGGCAUAGUUAACCCAUGAGUAUUCACAUGGGGAAACUGAGGCUCACAGAAAUCAAGGUUUGUCCAGAGUUACAUAACUGGUACAUGAAGGAUCUAGGCGUCAUGUUCAGUUCUAGCUUGUCCAAGGUCUGUGCUUUGGGUCUCUUCCCUAAACUCCAUGUUUUUCUCACAGCGUUAUGUGGCCAUCUACAGCUGAGUUUAUUAAGUUUUGACUUAAGGCAUUCCUUCCGGAACUAGAUUUCUAGCCAAGACCUCUGAAGGAAUCAGAUUGCAUCCACAGUUACUACAGUAUUUCUUGGUCUUCUCUUCCAGAAGGGUGUUCUUCUAGAGGAACUGUUUACUGACUUGAAAUGCUGUUAUAAAAUCUCAGUUCAAAGGUUGUGUAUCUCCCAGGAAACAAAUGGCUUUUUUAUUCUUCGCCACUAGCUUAACACUGCAUUAUAGCUGCUCAUAACAAGUCAUGGUAUGCUAAUUUAUGAGUCACAUGACACAGUCAAUUCAUAUUAUAGACAUUGCCCUGAUUAUAUGUCUCCUUAACUGAAAUGUUUACAUAGUUGUGAUGGAAUCAAUUUUAUUAAUUUUACAGCAUUCACAGGUUUCUCCUCUUCCCAAGACUGCCAGAGAGAUCCUGUAAUUACCUGCCCGGUUUUUCUUCUUAGGAGACAUGAGAAAAGAAUAGAAUUCCUCCAAUUAUUUUCUGCUUGUUUGUGCCUCUGUAAAUUUGACUCUUCUCAGAGAUGAAACCACCUGGGACACAGCUUCUUUAGAGUUGCACAGUGACACCUGCAAAUAGUUAGCAGUGCACCAGGUACAGAAGCACACACACCUGGUGGCAGGGCAAGAUGGGGUGAUUCCUGGAGCCAGAUCAUCCCUGAUGUGUUCCUUGCAGUGUUAUCAGGGGGAUUACAGGAAAUAACAUACACAAAAAACUGUUUCUUAACUGCAAAGCACUGUGCAAACGUGAGCUGUUAAGCCAGGUGGUGUGUGCAAUGGAGAUCACCUUUUGCCGGGGGGUAAUCAUUUCAGUUUACAUAACACUUAUCACUCCAGGAGCCCCAAGCCCUUGUGAAUAUUAUCCUGAGAAAUAUCACUUGAAAUGAAAUGCGCAUGCAUAAACAGAGUCUAGCAAAUGGAGGCACCAAUUAUGAUGACAAUGACGAAGGUCUUAAAUGAGAACAUAAACAUUUUGACAUGUCAGCUCCCAAGGAUGUUGCCACUGUAGUCACAACACCUUCUGAGGGAAAAUCAAUUCUCAACGUUAAUGUUUCCCAUGAGUGUUGACUCCUCGGGGGAUGGGGGAGGAAGAGGGAAACAAAAGUGGAAAAACAUUUUAAAAUAUGAAUUUUAUUUUCCAUAGCAGUAUAUCAGAAAACUCAAAUAUAACUCCACAACUUUUUCAAGAGUUUCUUUUUGUUUUCCAAUGGUAACGGGAGAGAAAAUAAGCUGUCAUUAUCGGAAUGAUCAAACACAGAGAGAAAAGAGGCAGAGGUGAGAAGAUGGAGAAGAUGAAUACAUUUGCUUUCAGCAAACCAAUGGAAGUCCAUUUGCAUGAUCUGAAAAGGAAAAUGAGAAGCUAAUUUUUCUAUACAAGGCAGAAUUUAAGAAAUACAAUUCCUAAGGACUCCAGUGGAUACAGCUCUGGUUCCUGGACUUCGUGUUUUGGCUUGGUCUUUCUGCUUUUUCAAUUUUGUCACUGGAGAGGAUAAUGAGACAUCUAAGUGGCAUAGAGGGCUGGAGUUCAGAAGAAACACAGGAUUCAAGAUAUGCCUUUCAGAGUGAAGACCAGAAACAUUAUUGGGGGUCAGGAUUCAGUGAUACCUCCAAAGGAGAAAAUGUGAAGACUGAAAUGCAGGGGUUGAGGACCAUUUUGUUAAAGGAAAGGGUAUAAUGAGAACCUGUUAACACAGAAGAAAUGGAGUUCUCUGUCAUUCAAGACAAAGAGCUGCAUCUGAGUCAAGGUAAUCUGCUCUGAAUAGUGCUUCAUCCAAAAAUAUCUCCUCUUUUUUUCCCAAUCAUCUUUAUUGUCUGGUUAUGCAAGUAAACCUUCUACCUCUUAAGCCUCAGGUUCCACAUCCAUAAAAUGAAUACAAUAUUACUAUCUACCUUCCAUGGCUGUGAUGAGGAUAUAGUGAGGCAAGGGGUGAUAUGCCUGGCACAGAGUACAAACCCAACCAAUGUGAGCUACCCUUAUCAUUGUCAUUAUUAUUAUUCGUCACAUUUGCCUCUGUUUAAUCAAUAAUCAUUCCUUUACAAGAUGAGUAUCCCAAACUUACUUCCAAAUACUUUGUCAUUUUUUUCACUCCUCACUUAGCCUUUCUGUCUGAUUCAAAUGGCACGGGGAAAGAGAGAAUGACUCAAACAUCACAGAUUGCUGUUACCCUGGCAUGGUUAAGAUAAUUAUGUCGCCAUCAGGAUACUGGUUUGACUCUGAAGUCUCAUGUUCAGUGGUUACUGUUUCCUCUCAGGGACUGUGCUUAAGGUUUAGAGAAAUCGUCGUCAUCUAGAUGAUCGUUGCUCAAUUGAAACAUUUAUUUGCUAUAUUAGUUUUCUAUUGCUGUGUAACAAAUUUAAUGCCUUUAAAC